GACUCUUGGCAACGGAUAUCUCGGCUCUCGCAUCGAUGAAGAACGUAGCGAAAUGCGAUACCUGGUGUGAAUUGCAGAAUCCCGCGAACCAUCGAGUCUUUGAACGCAAGUUGCGCCCGAGGCCACUCGGCCGAGGGCACGCCUGCCUGGGCGUCA
rnacentral:rRNA from 1 species